rnacentral:rRNA from 1 species
UACGUAGGGUGCAAGCGUUGUCCGGAAUUAUUGGGCGUAAAGAGCUUGUAGGCGGUUUGUCGCGUCUGCUGUGAAAUUUCGGGGCUCAACCCCGAACUUGCAGUGGGUACGGGCAGACUAGAGUGUGGUAGGGGAGACUGGAAUUCCUGGUGUAGCGGUGAAAUGCGCAGAUAUCAGGAGGAACACCGGUGGCGAAGGCGGGUCUCUGGACCGAUACUGACGCUGAGGCGCGAAAGCGUGGGGAGCAAACAGG